rnacentral:lncRNA from 1 species
UUUCGCUCACGGACAACUCCACCGACGCCGACACCGGAUCGUCUGCGACACGGGGCCCUUAAAGCUAUCGCGUUGCCGCUCGACUGGCCGCUAGACGCGCGUCUAUGCUACGCGCGGCUGCCCGCGCAUGGGUAUCGGCCAAUCUGUCAAAGGAACUUUCAUUUCUCCAUGAGAAAUGUGGGGGUGACGAGAAUAUGGGGGUAUCGCUCUAGGAUUCUAGGCACUGCGUGUAUUUUCCCACUUGCACUGCCGAUGUUGUCACUCUGAACCUCGUCACCAUGCGCGUUGUCUCUCGGGCUGUCGAAGAAUUCUUCAGUGAGGAAGUAGUGUGUGCACCUCGAGGCGUGCACUCGAAGCAGUUCACGUUUUCGAUACACGUGUACUGCAAGAGCUCGUGUGUGCUGUAUGCACGUGAACACCUCAGUGCAUGUGUUGCACUGAGCUCGUCUUGUUGCUUUCUUUACUGCAGUGUGCUACAAUGGGGAUCAAGUCACUCUUCAUGCUCGCAUUUUCAGCAGUCCUGGCACACGUGGUGCAAGGUCAGUGCGGACCAACGGUGCGCUGCAGUGGCCCCUGCCAGCUCGGCUUGACGUUCCCUGGACUGUGCGGAAUCUGCGUUUGCGAGCCCGAGUGUCCGAUCUGUCCAUCCCGGUGCUACUACGAGCGCCGAGCAGGCAUGUGUCCGGCAUGCGCGCCCACCCGCCAUUGCUACAAGUAACGACGUCGCCGGAGUUGUGUUUCUCGGAACUGAAUAAAAAGUUUGUG